rnacentral:lncRNA from 1 species
CGGAGUAGACCGCUCGUAGUAGAAGUUCGGCUCUCACAGGAGCUCGGUUGGAAUCCUAAAGGCGGUCGACCACGGUAGAAACUUGGCUGGAGUCUGAUUACUGUAGAAAUCUCGUUGUCGAAGAAGCUCGGAUAUUGACGAAGUUCGAAAGAAGUUCGGAGAAUAGUUGAUCACUGUAGAAGGUCAGCUGAUAGUGAGGCCUAGAGAGCCUUUGGAGCGGCCCGGUAGAUGGAUGGAGAAGCUCAUUGUCGGAGAAGUUCGGACGGUAUUAUGGAAGUCCGGACGGUCGAGAGGGUUCAGAGAGAUGCCACACA